UAAUGGCCCACCAAGGCGGUGACGGGUAGCUGGUCUGAGAGGAUGGCCAGCCACAUUGGGACUGAGAGACGGCCCAGACUCCUACGGGAGGCAGCAGUGGGGAAUCUUGCGCAAUGGCCUAACGGCUGACGCAGUGACGCCGCGUGGGGGAGGAAGGGCUUCGGCUCGUAAACCCCUGUUGCCCGGGGCGAACAGCUUCUUUCGAGGAGCCUGACGGUACCGGGUGAGGAAGCACCGGCUAACUCCGUGCCAGCAGCCGCGGUAAUACGGAGGGUGCGAGCGUUGUCCGGAAUCACUGGGCGUAAAGGGCGCGUAGGCGGCCGAGCAAGGUCGCGGUGAAAGCCCGGGGCUCAACCCCGGGUCGGCCGUGGCAACUACUCGGCUCGAGCACUGUAGGGGCGGGUGGAAUUCCGGGUGUAGCGGUGGAAUGCGUAGAGAUCCGGAAGAACACCGGUGGCGAAGGCGGCCCGCUGGGCAGGAAGGGAGAGCAAUCUCCCGGCUGACGCUGAGGCGCGACAGCGUGGGGAGCAAACAGGAUUAGAUACCCUGGUAGUCCACGCCGUAAACGAUGGGCACUAGGUGCUUGGGGGAGCGACCCCCCGAGUGCCGGCGCUAACGCAUUAAGUGCCCCGCCUGGGGAGUACGGAAGCUUGGAAUUCG
rnacentral:rRNA from 1 species